CCGCCGCGUCCCGCACCGCCUACCCUGCGGCUCCCUCCCCCCCGUUCCCUGCGCUCGGACACGAGCCGGCGCUGUGUGUUCACCUGCUCCCUGUAGGAAUGUGCUAGUGGGUGCAGUUGCCGGUAUGCGGUGGAGGAAUGAAAUGAGUAGAUGUUAACCACGUGAACUCAUCUUCUGACGUGUAUGUUUAUCAUAAUGGGCAACACUAAGUCCAAAAGAAAUCCUCCCCCUCUACCAAAUAACAUAGAAAAGGAUACCAAUGUGAGUGCAGGCGAGAGAGACUUCAAGCAAAAUCAUGAAUUGUGUGGCCUCUCUCUUGACAUAGAAGGGAUCUCUACAAAUGUUCCAGAAAUUCUCAGCAGUGAUGAGGAUCCUGAGGAUGUGUUUUACAAGUUUGUGAUUCUGCAUGCUCAGAAUGAUGCAGAUGAAGCCAGCCGACUCCAGCAUCUGCUACAAAAUAAUUUUUGUAUUAAACCUGGAAUAAUCUUUGCUGAAAUGCCUAGUGGUAGACAUUUCUUACAAAAUUUAAAUGAUGCUGUGAAUAGGUCAGCAUGGACUAUUAUUCUGUUGACAGAACAUUUCUUGAGUGAGGCUUGGUGUGAGUUCCAGUCUUAUGCCUCCGUGAUGAACGCUCUUAACAAACAGCAUAAAUAUAACUCUGUCAUACCACUGAGGCCACUGAAUAAUCCACUUCCAAGGGAGAAGACUCCUUGUGUCCUGCAAGCCAUUAAUGCACUGGAAGAAGAUAGUCCUGGCUUUGCUAAACAAGUGGAGAAGAUUUUCCAGGAGUCUAAAUAUAGGCAACAGCAAGCAAUGUGGAUGGAAGAAAGAAAGAAAGAAAGAAAGAAUAAAUGAGACACACUAGAGCUAUUGGAAUGAUGAAAGACAUGCAUAAAGACAGUUAAAUCGACAAUUAAAUUGAAGGAGGUAAAUUAGUUGUCUUACUCAUCUCAAGUAUGAGAGAAACACCUUCUUUUGAGAAACCAACCCACAGAAAAGAUGGUGGUAAGAGUUUCCCAUAAAGACAUUAUUUUUAUUACUUAACAUCUGUAUGUUUUCAGCAGUAUUAUCAAGAUGUGGCCAAUCAUCACCUUGACCCCUUUAUUUAUGAUAUGCCACUUCCCCUACCCAUAUCUGUUUGUUUGGCUUCUCUUUAUAUUGUACGCUCUACUGGGCAGAUACCGUAUCUUCCUUUAAGUUUGUACAGCUCCUCUCAUGUUGUAGCUGCUACUGGAAACAAAUAAUAAAUAGGGUAGUACUAAACAGUGGCUGCUACUGAGAGCCAACAGAAGCGGCACAGGAUGACAUCCUGUAAGGAAGCUAUUCUAUUAAUAACUAUCUUUAGAUCAGAAAUAUAAAUAUAUGAAAAAUACUUAUGAGUGUUACAAAACCAGGGAAAUACAUUUGGCGCCCUACAAAAUAUAUGCUCCUAUUUUAAGAAGUAAGAAUCUCAAAAUAUGUGUGCACUACUUUUGUCAUGUUUGCAAUUGUUAAAAAGCAUAUAUUUUCUAAUUAUGCAUCUUGACCAAAUGGGUAGGUGCAUUUUACAAAUUAAAAUAAACACACUCUCAAUUUC